rnacentral:rRNA from 1 species
GUGAACGCUGGCGGUAGGCCUAACACAUGCAAGUCGAACGGCAGCACAGUAAGAGCUUGCUCUUACGGGUGGCGAGUGGCGGACGGGUGAGGAAUACAUCGGAAUCUACUUUUUCGUGGGGGAUAACGUAGGGAAACUUACGCUAAUACCGCAUACGACCUACGGGUGAAAGCAGGGGAUCUUCGGACCUUGCGCGAUUGGAUGAGCCGAUGUCGGAUUAGCUAGUUGGCGGGGUAAAGGCCCACCAAGGCGACGAUCCGUAGCUGGUCUGAGAGGAUGAUCAGCCACACUGGAACUGAGACACGGUCCAGACUCCUACGGGAGGCAGCAGUGGGGAAUAUUGGACAAUGGGCGCAAGCCUGAUCCAGCCAUACCGCGUGGGUGAAGAAGGCCUUCGGGUUGUAAAGCCCUUUUGUUGGGAAAGAAAAGCAGCAGGUUAAUACCCCGCUGUUCUGACGGUACCCAAAGAAUAAGCACCGACUAACUUCGUG